AUUGAACGCUGGCGGCAUGCCUUACACAUGCAAGUCGAACGGCAGCACGGACUUCGGUCUGGUGGCGAGUGGCGAACGGGUGAGUAAUGUAUCGGAACGUACCUUUCAGUGGGGAUAACGUAGCGAAAGUUACGCUAAUACCGGCAUAUUCUGUGAGCAGGAAAGCAGGGAUCGCAAGACCUUGCGCUGAUUGAGCGGCCGAUAUCAGAUUAGCUAGUUGGUGAGGUAAAGGCUCACCAAGGCGAACGAUCUGUAGCGGGUCUGAGAGGAUGAUCCGCCACACUGGAACUGAGACACGGUCCAGACUCCUACGGAGGCAGCAGUGGGAAUUUGGACAAUGGGGCAACCUGAUCCAGCCAUGCCGCGUGAGUGAAG
rnacentral:rRNA from 1 species